rnacentral:rRNA from 1 species
GUGUCAGCAGCCGCGGUAAUACGAAGGACCCGAGCGUUAUCCGGAUUUAUUGGGUUUAAAGGGUGCGUAGGCGGAUUAGUAAGUCAGUGGUGAAAGCCCGUCGCUCAACGGCGGAACUGCCAUUGAUACUGCUAGUCUUGAGUAUGGUUGAGGUGGGCGGAAUGUGUCAUGUAGCGGUGAAAUGCUUAGAUAUGACCCAGAACACCAAUUGCGAAGGCAGCUCGCUAAGCCAUAACUGACGCUGAUGCACGAAAGCGUGGGGAGCAAACAGGAUUAGAAACCCUGGUAGUCC